UCUCCGUUGGUGAACCAGCGGAGGGAUCAUUACAGAGUUGCGAAACUCCAUAAACCAUUGCGAACCCACCACUGAACAGUUGCUUCGGCGGGUGGCUGGCAGGGCCCCCCUAGCUGGGGCCGGCCGCCGCGAAACCCGCCGGAGGCACCCAAACUCUUGUUUGUUACAGGCCUCUCUGAGUUAUAGCACUUGAAUAAAGUCAAAACUUUCAACAACGGAUCUCUUGGUUCUG
rnacentral:misc_RNA from 1 species